rnacentral:tRNA from 1 species
AAGGAGUUAGUUAAUAUGUGCAUAACACUAGAAUGUCAAUCUAAAAUAACUAAAAUUUAGUACACCUUG